AGCAGGUUGGGGAGAGGAGGCAAACAUUCCCAGUGUCAGAGAAGUUUGGUGAGUCUUCGUCAUUUUUGCCCUAGGGGCACAGGGACAUUUGAGUUUCUCCCUUGAGGCAUGGGAAAGACGGGUAAGUGGGUAUUGGAGCCGCUGGGCCUGGCAGAGGAAAUAAGCUGAGUCACAGGACUUACUCCACUCCUAUCACCUCAUCUCUGCCUGACAUUGGGGCCAUUCAUCAGCAGGACAUUCAAAGACAAACAGGAAGGGCAUUUAGAAGAAAGAAUGAGAAUCAGGACACCUCCAAUUACCCAGCCAUUUACAAAGAUUCUUUGCAACCAGGGGCUUGUCUACCUGGUGGGCAGAGGAAGAAAACUUUGCAUUUGGCUGUUUGGAUACUCCCAAGUAACACAUCCAGCCAUUUGUAUCUGUAGAGACACAGGUGUGGAAAAGAUCAGCACUUGGAUUCAAUCUGGGUUGAAGUUUUGCCAGGUGAUGAAGCUGAGGUCCAGAGAGACUGCCCAUGAAAUGAUCAAGCAGAGACCCACCCACAUCCAGAAACCUGAAGUUAUCCUGAGAACAAACGUCACUGCCAUGGAAACACCUCCUCCACGUUCCCGAUGGUGCACUGGUUUUCUUUCCUGUCUGACCAACAAGCCUCUGGAGAGUGGCCACCAUCUUACAGGCUCACUUUGUAUUCUGUAAACUUUCAGUUGGAAAAUAAACACACUGUCUCCCUGUCAAAGCUCUACCGUGCAUGAGUAUUUCUCAAGAGCCAGGGCGGAUGGUAGAGACAGACCAAGCAUUUCCAAGGAAACCAAAGGGGCAUAAUUGCUUCUUUCCAGGUAAUGUGGAUGCACUGGAUGGGGUCGGCUGCGUCACAGUGGAUCAUUUUCUUGUUAGCGUCUGGCCAGAGUGAUGUGAGUACCACGGGCUUCCUGAAUGACGCUGCACAGGCCCAUCUGCAAGUUACAAAGACCAAAUUGAAAAUAGAUCAUGGAGACACUGGUUGGAUACUCUGCCUUCCCUUGAAAGAUCCACGGUGGGUUUGUCCACUGAGACAUACUAUUGCUGGGACUUUUUUGUUUCUUUUCAUUUUCUU
rnacentral:lncRNA from 1 species